UCAGAAAUCAUGGGGAGUUUUGUUCAAAUGCAGAUUCCGAUUCAUUAGGCUCAGAAUGGAGCCUGAAAUUCUGCAUUUCUAGCAAGCUCCCAGGUGUUGCCCUG
rnacentral:miRNA from 1 species